rnacentral:rRNA from 1 species
AGCGAACGCUGGCGGCGUGCUUAACACAUGCAAGUCGAGUGCGUAGCCCUUUGUAGCAAUACAGAGGGUGGGCGCACGGCGCACGGGUGAGUAACACGUGGGUAACCUGCCCUUCGGUGGGGAAUAACCCCGCGAAAGCGGGGCGUAAUUCCGCAUAACAUUCCGGGGACGACAUGUUCUCGGACUCAAAGGAGUGAUUCGCCGGAGGAGGGG